AAAAGCACAAAAAGAUGGAAUGUGCAUUUGGGCGCGGAUAGGCUUGCACAGAUAGAGUGAGGUGUUGCACGUGCUUGCGGUGUGCGGGACUCCAUUUUCAACACAGCAGCCCGCGGCUGGAAGUAAAACCACGUGAACAUUUGCCUUGUUCUUGGCAGCCAUCUUGAGCAAAUGUCACCUUCAUUCAAGUUGCUGUUGACAAGAACUUGCCGAAUUUAUUCUCCCAGCAACGUUUCUCCAUCUUACGUUCAAACUACAGUCGACAAGUGUUACGUGGCUGUUUAUGUAAGUACUGCUAUACGAGAAACUUGAUUUUGGACAGCAGCAAACAUCUGAGUGAAGUGCAAUACAAAGGGGCCUGAGAUGUCACCAAUAACAUCCAAGAUGGCACCACUGAUGUCCAAGAGAUCGGCUGCCUAGAGAUUGACUGGAUGGAUACAUUUUGGCUAAGGGCAAAUCCAUGGCAACGGCUUUGGGCAUUUCUCAGUGCAUUUUCAACAAUCAGUUAAUGUCUGAAGUAUUGGUAUUUAAGUCAAACAGUCUAAAGGGAGUUUCUUCAUACUUUUCAUGAUGUACCCCGACUCCCUCGUGUGUGUGUGUGUAUUCAGGAGAUCACAGGAUUUAGCCUUCUCUUGGUAAGUUCCAGCAGGGAAUAAAUUGACCCAGUUGGUACAAAGCUCAGAAAAAUACGAGGGUUUUAAAUUGCAAUCGAUUUAUGUUAAAUGCAUCAGUGUGGGUUUAUACCAUCCACUUCAAUUCAGUCACUGAUGGAAUGUAUUUGUUGCCAUGGAUUUGCUUGUAAUAUGGACUGUUUUACGCUUGGAGUAGGUUUGGAGCCAGGCACAUGUACAUGGACUUUCACGCAAAGAAAGCUGUAAAUUUUCCACCUUUCUGUCAUUGACUAAAAGGCACAGUCAUUUACGUACAUGCAGCCUUCCAUCUCCAGUUACUUGGCAGGAUCAACUUUUUUGGACAAAUACAUGUAUUGGAGUAAAAAAAAAAAAUAACCUGAUAAUCAGGACAAGCACCUCACGUUAAUGCUGUCAUGUGCCUGGUUCAGUUCUUUUUUUAUCUGAAAAAUAGUUUUUGGAUGCUCUGCGAACAGUGUUUUACUGUGUAUAAAUGUAUCUACACCAGCACAUCAAACUACAAGUUCUUAUUUGCUUUUUAGGCUGGAACUAUAGAUUGAAAUGGAAUCGUUGACAUUGUGCAUGAAACACGUAUAUCACUUCUGUUGCAUUUAGGUACCUGCUUGAUUAGGUUAUUGGAAUGUCAUAGCCUUUCUUAAUGGAAAUGUGACAUCAAAAUCAUCUGAAAUUAGGAGUUAUCUUUUGCGGUUAAUAAAACGUCAUUAGCAAAAUGUUUUUCUGUGAAUGUAUAACAGAUGAAUACUUUGAAUCAAAUGUCUUAAAUUGGUUCUUUUUAAGACAGCACUUUGAGAUGAGGCUCUACUUUGUGAAUGAUUUGUUUUUGGUGAUACAUUAAGCUCUUCUUUAUGUCAAAAACCUUAUGCCAGACUUAUCGGCAAAUUUCUAUAAGUUACUGUCUUGUGGGUCUUCAGUAUGGACUUAGUUUCAGCGAGUUUGAAAUGAACAAAAUCCAAUGAUUAGUUGUUUUGUUAAUAAGGUAUGAUGUGCUGGUGUAGAGUUUCUUUGUAUUGAUUGCUGAAUUAAAUUGUUUUCUUGUGUGUGUGCUGUGUGUUCACUUGGUCUGCUGCCUUUUUUACAAGUAUGCAAUGGACUUUAAAAGUGCACGCACAAAAACCAGAAAUAAAACAAGCACUGCAGAUGGUACUGAGAACAAGUUAUAAAUUAGCUUCAAUUGAAAAAAUAUCUUUUUCACAAACCCAAAUUCAGCCCUCUGUUAUCUUUCAGCACUUGUUUUUUUAUAUGAACUUUUGCAAACAUUUACAUUGUAAAAAAGGCAGCAGGCUCAUUGUCUAUUUGCAUAAAGGGUGGGGUAGGGUGAGAAGUUUGUGUCCAGCUGUAAAUGCGCACUGCACCAAGGGUUGUAUGGAAUUGUCAUUUUCGCGAGUGUGCAGACAAGCAUUGUCGGGGAAAAAAGGUCAAAAGUUUUCUUUUCAGUGCUUUUUUUUGGUUGGGGCUUUUUUCUAUUUGUCUUCUCUUUUUGGCUAUCAAACAAGAAGUGUUUUGUACACUCGCAAAAUUGAUAAACCCAAAACUGAAGGUUUUUGUAAUUGAUGCGUGUAGUUUUAAAUGAUCAGCAUGUUGAAAGAGCGCCCUCAAUUUCAUUUCAGUCUUGGCGCAGUGUACAUGUUGGAACUUCCUAUAUAUGGAGA
rnacentral:lncRNA from 1 species